GUGAAUCAUCGAAUCUUUGAACGCACCUUGCGCUCCUUGGUAUUCCGAGGAGCAUGCCUGUUUGAGUGUCAUUAAAUUCUCAAUCUCAACCAACUUGUGUUGUUUGCUGAUUGGAUGUGGGGGUCCUUGUGGGAUUAUUAAUUCCACUCCCCUAAAAUAAAUUAGCUGGAACGCCUUUGCAAUCCAACUAUCAGUGUGAUAAUUAUCAGUGCUGGAGUUAUUGCAUGAGGGAAUCUGCUUCUUAAUAACUGUCUGUCGUAAGACAAACAUAUGAACCAUUUUGACCUCAAAUCAGGUAGG
rnacentral:misc_RNA from 1 species